AGCGAACGCUGGCGGCAGGCUUAACACAUGCAAGUCGAGCGGGCACUUUCGGGUGUCAGCGGCGGACGGGUGAGUAACGCGUGGGAACGUGCCCUCUGGUUCGGAAUAACUCAGGGAAAAUUGAGCUAAUACCGGAUACGCCCUUUUGGGGAAAGGAUUGCUGCCGGAGGAUCGGCCCGCGUCUGAUUAGCUAGUUGGUGAGGUAACGGCUCACCAAUGCGACGAUCAGUAGCUGGUCUGUGAGGAUGAGCAGACACACUGGUACUGAGACACGGCCCAGAAUCCUACGGGAGGGAGCAGAGGGGAAUAUUGGACAACGGGCGCAAGGCUGAUCGAGCCAUGCCGCGUGAGUGAUGAAGGCCUGAGGGAUGUAAAGCUCUUUUAUCCGGGACGGUAAUGACGGUACCGGAGGAAUAAGCCCCGGCUAACUUCGUG
rnacentral:rRNA from 1 species